AGGGAAGUAGUUAAUAAUAAUAUAGGGUUGUCAACCCUAAGAUGUUGAAUAAUCAACCUUCUUUG
rnacentral:tRNA from 2 species